rnacentral:rRNA from 1 species
GACGAACGCUGGCGGCGUGCUUAAUACAUGCAAGUCGACAUGAGUGGCGAACGGGUGAGUAAUACGUGGGUAACCUGCCCUCCUUUUUGGGAUAAGCCUUGGAUACGGGGUCUAAUAUCGUAUCAUGGGGGAUGGGCUCGCGGCCGAACAGCGUGUUGGUGGGGUGAUGGGCUACCAAGGCGGUGACGGGUAGCCGGCCUGAGAGGGUGACCUGCCACAUGGGGACGGCGAUGCGGCCCAGGCGCGGACGCGGGGGAGAAGUGGGGGAUAUUGAACAAUGGGCGAAAGCCUGAUGCAGCGACGCCGAGUGGGGGUUGAAGGCGUUCGGGUUGUAAACCUCUUUCGCUAUCGAAAGGGUAGGUAGCGAGGAAGCGACGGCUAACUACGUGCCAGCCGCCGCGGUAAUAC